CACAUGGGAGAAAAAGGGGGCGUAGCAAUACGUCAGCGGCAGACGGGUGAGUAUUCCCUGGGAACGUACCUUUUGGUUCGGAACACACAGGGAAACUUGUGCUAAUACCGGAUAAGCCCUUACGGGGAAAGAUUUAUCGCCGAAAGAUCGGCCCGCGUCUGAUUAGCUAGUUGGAGAGGUAAUGGAUCAGCAAGGCGACGAUCAGUAGCUGGUCUGAGAGGAUGAUCAGCCACAUUGGGACUGAGACACGGCCCAAACUCCUACGGGAGGCAGCAGUGG
rnacentral:rRNA from 1 species